rfam:Sclerotinia sclerotiorum 1980 scaffold_7 genomic scaffold, whole genome shotgun sequence.
AUCUCGUUGGGCUAGUGGUCAUGCCAUCUGUCUCACAAAAAUCACAAAUUAUAUAUAGAUUUAUGAUUUCAAGAGGACACAGAAGAUCGCAGGUUCAAACCCUGCACGAGAUA